rnacentral:lncRNA from 1 species
UUUUGUUCAAAACCAUUUAUAUAUUAAUAUCAGUUUAUAAAUGUACAUGAUGAUCCUAACAUAAACGUAAAUAAAUAUAUGUCCGUUCGACCCCAGUCGCGUUCACUCUGGUUAUUUUCAAUCAUUUCUAUCUGCCCCAACACAAUUUGACUGACUAUUAAAACUAUAUUGCGAUAAAAAUUAACAGCUUUAGUUUUUGUUGCAGUUAUAUUUUAUUAAGAACAUGGUUCAUGUAUCUCUUUUUUUCAGACAUGCAUCAUAUUUUAUGGGGUAUAUCAAUAGAUAAAAUUGAGAAUGGAAAUGGGGAAUGUGCCAAAGAGACAACAACCCGAUCAUAGAAAAAACAACAGCAGAAGGUCACGAACAGGUCUUCAAUGUAGCGAGAAAUUCCCGCACCCGGAGGCGUCCUUCAGCUGGCCCCUAAACAAAUAUAUUCUAGUUCAGUGAUAAGAGACUAUUCUAUACGUGUACAAUAUCAAAACUGGUUCGUAAAAUUUUGUUAUUGCUCCCAAUGAAAAGUUUAAAAAGUUGUUAUUGUUAUAUUAAGUCGCAAAACAUAUGGUAGAACCCCACAAUUAUAUUUUUCAAAUAUGACAGCUACAUGUAGUAUGUAGUACAAUUAAUUUUUGGAAAGCUGUAGAAUGACAUAGACUUCACAAUGGGUUUAUAAGAACAUGAAGAUUAUGUUAUGUGUGUAAUAUGUGCUGUUUUCUGUAUGACAGUCCGUCUUUCAUACCCAUACCAAAAAUUGGUCCGACAUACAUUGUUGUUUUUUUCAACCUUUUAUCGCACGAACUUUGUAAUAAAAUGUUACAAAAAAUAUUAGUCGAAAGACAUUCAUUUAUUUUAAUAACUUGGUAGUUGCAAAAUUUCAGAAAAAGGUAUCACUCAAAGCAUUGACAUUCAAGUUUGAACCUGAUACAAUAUGUCGCACUAAAAAAGGCAGACUGUUGCAAUGAAUACACAAAAAAAAACAUAUUUCACCAUUUUAACUUUUAAAGUUCAAAUAUAGGGAAGAUACUGAUUACAAUGUACAUAAAUUUACACAUGUAUAUAAUAACACAAACAGUUCGGUUAUAUACUAGCAAACCAGGUGAAGUGAAACCUAUCAUCGAUAGUGGUAUACACAGAACAUCUAUAAACGUAUCUUGUUUUAAAACAUAGAGAAGACUUACAUAGACAAUUGAUCAUCAUCACUAAAUGAUUAUUUUCUUUAUUAACUGUGCGUUUCGUCGACUCAAUAUGGUCUUAACUUACAACCUGAAUUUCGUCAGGCUAGUGUUCUCCUAAAAAAUAACUUUAAAGUUCCAAACAAAUUGGAAAUUGUGUCAUAAAGAAACCAACCCAGAAAAGAAAAAGUUUGAAUGAAUGUAUAAGAAGGUUACCUUAAUUAUCAUGAUGGGAAAAUAGUGGCACCAGAAAUAUCAUAAGCAAACCUUAUUUUGUCGACAAGAAAUUAUAUAUUUUUUUUUUGGUUUAACAUCAGCAACACCACGUGCAAUGUCCCCAGUCAACACUGUAUUAUCUGCAUUUAAAAUAUAUUGAUAUGGAAAAAACCAGAGAUCUGCAUCAAAACAUUUUUUUCAAACGAAUUGAAUAUUAUCAAAUGCAAACAAUUAAACAAAUCUUACAGCAAACUUUGAUCUCAAGAUGGUUCAGG